GGGCGCCCCCCUCGGCCGGCGCUCGGGUUACAGCCGCGCUCCCGCCCGCCCGCGCGCGGGACCGAGCUGGUAACGGAACCGGGCCGCGGGCCUGCAUUGUGGGAGCCUCGCGGGCGGCGGGGGGCGCGCGCGGUCCCGGUCCGGGAGGAGCAGCCGGGCUCGCGAGGCGGGGGAGCACGCGUCUCCGGGAGGCCCGCGAAGUCUUCACGGCCUGGGGCUGAGACUUGCACGACUGCCAGCCCUCAGUGGUCACCGCGGAAAGUGGGAGUUUUUUUCCUCAGGCAGAAAAGGGGGUAAAAAAGGAAAGGAAAAGGGGAAAAAAAGCCUUUCUGUCCCCCAGCACUGACUUGAAUUGCUUUUCAUCUGGAGUAGCUGUGAUUCAGCGGUCCCCUUAGCAGCAAGCAUGACAAGAGGCAGAAGAUGAGGGAAAAAACGCGAAUGAAUCAGAUAAUUUACUUCCAUUGUUUGCUGUGAUAGUUACUCCUCUGUGGAGUUCCUGAAACAAGGGCUGUUGGCCAGCCCCAAGCCUUCUGCUGCAUAUAUCAUUUUAGACUAAUGGAAGAUGCAUCAAGAACUGGCAUGGAUCGGUGUGGGACAAGUGGAGAAAGAUACUACUGUAAACUCUGAAAGAAGAGAGAGAGAAGUCAUUGUGUGUGUGUUGGGGGGGGGUGAUUAUACUUACAUUUUAUUCUGAGGCUGGAAGAGAAACUUCCUUUAUCUUAAAGGUGGGGCAAAAAUAAAUUGCCCCAGUAACAUACAGAAAUGAUAAAUAUUUCCACUUUGACUGGAAUUGGAGCCAUAUCUCUUGACAUGGCAUACAGCUGACUAGGGCUCAGGUGUGGGCUCUAGCAGUCCCUUACGUGGGCCCCAUGUGGCUUGGUGGACCUGAGGGGUGAGCUGGUUAAUACAGAACCACUAUCCUUGUUCCAGCCUUCCUCCUUCCUGCUGCUCUUCAGCUUCUGAGUGAUCCCAGCUUUCCUAGCCUGUGUGAGAGUUGAGCCAAGAAAUUAAAGAAAACAAAAUUUUAAAAGAACUCUGGAUUCUGGGAAAGCUUGGAAAGGUAGCAAGAUAGAUCUUGGUCCAAAUCUUGGCUCUGCUUUUUACUGCUUGGCUGACCACAAGCAAGUUGUUUAAAUUUUCUAACCUUAAUAUUCUUAUCUGUAAAAAAUAAGGAGAAGUACAGAAUAAUAUUUAUAGCACAGAAAUAGUAUUAAGUUGAAGAUCAAAUGAAAUAAAAUGUACCAGUACCUGGUACAUAAAUACUGUUUGUUAUACUAAUGCUCAUAAUUAGUAUGUAGAAGCUCUUAGGUGAAACGGUACUUUCAUCAAAGCAAAUAAUUACAGUGUUCUAUUUCAGUAUAUCUGCAUGAGGCAUUGUUCUAAAUGCUCACGUAUUAAUUCUUAAUCCUUACAACUCUAUGAGGUAUGUUCUAUUCUUUUACCCAUGUUAAUAGAUUAGGAAGGCAAAGCAUAGAGACACAUUCAGUAAAAUUCCACUAUUAAGAUAGUAGAGCUGGGAUUCAAACCCAUGACGUUCAGCUUCAAACUUUGCACACUACCAUGCGAUAAAGAGUGAGGUGAGAGUCAAACAGUACAGAAAGAGCCCAAAGCAUUGAAUUGGUGUGGGUCAAGGUGAAAAGUUCAACUAGAAAUUUUAGAUUGAGGGUCACAGCCCGGAGUGUGCUGAGGGGUGGAGCGGGUUCAGCAGCAACAUGCUUCAUCGUGGACUCCUCCCCUAGCAAAAUACAUUACCAUCCGCUUUUAUUUCAGAAUGAUUGAUAUGUUUCUAAGUCAGCUUCCAAGCAAACUGAGGAAAAAAGGUGACUAUGCUUUGAAAACUAUAAGCAUUUUAAAAGACAUUUUGUGUCUUUAUCAGGUAAGGAACAAUCAAGGAAAAUGACCUGGUGAGUUCUAGUUUACAGAUUAGCUUUGUGACCAUGGGCAAGUCCCUUUCCUUUCUCCACAUACCUAAACCAGAUUAAUGAUAUGGACAGUAGUGUCUUUCCUUUUAAGCCCAGCAUUGACAGAUCCUGCUGGCCAGUGGAAAUCCUUUCCUUCCCUCUCUGAUGCCCCUCAAGGCUAUGUGUUUUUUUCCAGGAGGACAGCAUCACCAGUUGGAGGUGCAUUGUGUGCUUACAAGGACUUGCAAAAUUGCCUCAAAUGUCAUACCUAGCUCUGACAUUCUGAAACUGAAUAACAAAUUAGAAUAAUUAGUGCCAUCUGAAGAGAAGAGACACAGCAAAAACAGUUUCCUUUCAGCUUCUAAAAAUGACCUAAAUACCUCAAAAUUCAACUAAAACCAUAUAGGAAAGCUUGAGGGUAGAUUUGUACUAGGAAUAUAAUAUGCAGUGAAUGUAAUUCUGUUAAAUACUUUAUAAUUCAUUCUGUGAUUUUACCCCUAACAUUUAAUUUAUAUGCAAGAUAGGAAUUCUAUAUCUGCACUGUAUCUGUGUUACUUGAGAAUCCUGUAUCUAUAGUUGAGAAGGGAAGUGUUUCGGAUUUUGGAAUUUUGGAGAUUGGGAAACAUUUGCAUAUACAUAGUAAAGUAUCUUAGGGAAGUGACCCAAACCAAAACAUAAAAUUAAGUUAUGUUUUAUACACAUUUUUAUGCAUAGCAUGAAUAUAAUUUUAUACUAUAUUUUUAAAUUUUGUGCAUGAAAUGAAGUUUAUGUACCCUUAACCAUCAAAAUGAAUCUUUUGUAGUAUCCUUUUGGUGCUUAAAAAUUUUUGGAUUUGGAAGACGUUUGGACUUGCACAUGAGGAAUACUCAAUCUGUAUUAAUCUCUGAGCAUUGAUUUUUUUUAAUCUAAGGAGGUGUAUUACUCAAUACAGUCGUGUAACAAAUGAACAAAUAAAACAAUUGAUACCCUAUGAGGAAAUGA